GUCACGGUCCACCCUGAUGGGGGGUUUUCCGUAGACCUACAUCGUUGGAAACACCUCGUAGGUUACACAUGUUGCUCCCUUUAUUCACAGAACCAUGCGUUAGAUCUGUGGGGAGGAACUACACACCUAAC